rnacentral:rRNA from 1 species
UGCUAAGACUGGAUAGGAAACAAGAAGGCAUCUUUUUGUUUUUAAAAGACCUCCUAAAAAAAGGUAUGCUUAAAGAGGGGCUUGCGCCACAUUAGUUUGUUGGUAAGGUAAUGGCUUACCAAGACUAUGAUGUGUAGCUGGACUGAGAGGUUGAACAGCCACAUUGGGACUGAGACACGGCCCAAACUCCUACGGGAGGCAGCAGUAGGGAAUUUUCGGCAAUGGAGGAAACUCUGACCGAGCAAUGCCGCGUGAACGAUGAAGUAUUUCGGUAUGUAAAGUUCUUUUAUUGAAGAAGAAAAAUAGUGGAAAAACUAUCUUGACGCUAUUCAAUGAAUAAGCCCCGGCUAACUAUGUGCCAGCAGCCGCGGUAAGACAUAGGGGGCGAGCGUUAUCCGGAAUUAUUGGGCGUAAAGGGUGCGUAGGCGGUUAGUUAAGUCUAUAAUUUAAUUUCAACGCUUAACGUUGUUUUGUUAUAGAAACUGCCUAACUAGAGUGAGAUAGAGGCAAGUGGAAUUCCAUGUGUAGCGGUAAAAUGUGUAAAUAUAUGGAGGAACACCAGAAGCGUAGGCGGCUUGCUGGGUCUUUACUGACGCUGAGGCACGAAAGCGUGGGUAGCAAACAGGAUUAGAUACCCUGGUAGUCCACGCCGUAAACGAUGAGUACUAAGUGUCAGGGUAAAACUUGGUACUGAAGUUAACACAUUAAGUACUCCGCCUGAGUAGUACGUACGCAAGUAUGAAACUUAAAGGAAUUGACGGGACUCCGCACAAGCGGUGGAUCAUGUUGUUUAAUUCGAAGAUACACGAAAAACCUUACCAGGUCUUGACAUACUCUGCAAAGUUAUAGAAAUAUAAUGGAGGUUAUCAGGGAUACAGGUGGUGCAUGGUUGUCGUCAGCUCGUGUCGUGAGAUGUUAGGUUAAGUCCUAAAACGAGCGCAACCCUUGUCGGUAGUUACCAGCACGUAAAGGUGGGGACUUUAGCGAGACUGCCAAUUAAAAAUUGGAGGAAGGUGAGGAUUACGUUCAAUAAUCAUGCCCCUAAGGAUCUGGGCUACAACCGUGAUAUAAUGGUUGUUUCUAAGAGUACCUGAAACGUGAGUUUUUAGCCAAUCUCUCAAAAGCAGUCUCAGUCCGGAAUGAAGUCUGCGACUCGAACUCAUGAAGUUGGAAUGCCUAGUAAUCGCGAAUCACCAUGUCGCGGGGGAUACGUUCUCGGGGUUGU